UACAAGAUGGGAAGACAUCAAACCACCAGCAAAGAACCAUGACCAGGAAUCUAUAAAGCUAACUUUCCACUUAAAAUGAAGAGAAAAAAAGGAAUAGCUCUUAAAAAUGAUGCCAUGGGGAAAGGAAAUGGUAGUACAGUGACUCUAUCCUCUCCAGCUUAGCCGUGAAUGGCGCUAACACUGAAAUGUGAGUUGAGAGGGUGGAGGCCUCACAUGAGCCUCGAGGCUAAAUCAUCCACCCCAACCUGAUCGGUGGGGACGCCUGCCCUGGUUUUCUGGCUAACGGAAGAAAGAAAAAAGAAAGAUGAAAGAACUACCCAGUGGUCCUGGGAUACCAACUCUAAGAAAGAGAAGGGUCCCAGAAUUCUAUCCUGACUUCCCAGCAUCCACUUGUCACUGGGACAGAGCUUUUCUAAGUGGCCAAGACAAGAUCAAAGCCAAAGGAAACAAUGCUCUUCACAAAACCUGGC